rnacentral:rRNA from 1 species
ACCAGACUCCUACGGGAGGCAGCAGUGGGGAAUAUUGCACAAUGGGGGAAACCCUGAUGCAGCGACGCCGCGUGAGUGAAGAAGUAUCUCGGUAUGUAAAGCUCUAUCAGCAGGGAAGAAAAUGACGGUACCUGACUAAGAAGCCCCGGCUAACUACGUGCCAGCAGCCGCGGUAAUACGUAGGGGGCAAGCGUUAUUCGGAUUUACUGGGUGUAAAGGGAGCGUAGACGGCGCUGCAAGUCCGGAGUGAAAGUCCAUGGCUUAACCAUGGUACUGCUCUGGAAACUGCGUCGCUGGAGUACGGGAGGGGCAGGCGGAAUUCCUGGUGUAGCGGUGAAAUGCGUAGAUAUCAGGAGGAACACCGGCGGCGAAGGCGGCCUGCUGGACCGUGACUGACGUUGAGGCUCGAGAGCGUGGGGAGCAAACAGGAUUAGAUACCCGGGUA